CGAGGGAUGGCCGAGCGGUUGGGGCGCUAUCUUCAGGUGGCAGUGGUGUUUCACCUCGUGGGUUCGAGUCCCACUCCCUCCA
rfam:Cyphellophora europaea CBS 101466 unplaced genomic scaffold supercont1.11, whole genome shotgun sequence.